GUGAGGUAACGGCUCACCAAGGCAUCGACGGGUAGCUGGUCUGAGAGGAUGAUCAGCCACACUGGGACUGAGACACGGCCCAGACUCCUACGGGAGGCAGCAGUGGGGAAUAUUGCACGAUGGGCGCAAGCCUGAUGCAGCGAUGCCGCGUGCGGGAUGAAGGCCCUAGGGUUGUAAACCGCUUUCAGUAGGGAAGAAAAUGACGGUACCUACAGGAGAAGGUGCGGCCAACUACGUGCCAGCAGCCGCGGUGACACGUAGGCACCAAGCGUUGUCCGGAUUUAUUGGGCGUAAAGAGCUCGUAGGCGGUUCAGUUAGUCGGGUGUGAAAACUCUGGGCUCAACCCAGAGACGCCACCCGAUACUGCUGUGACUUGAGUGCGGUAGGGGAGUGGGGAAUUCCUGGUGUAGCGGUGAAAUGCGCAGAUAUCAGGAGGAACACCAGUGGCGAAGGCGCCACUCUGGGCCGUAACUGACGCUGAGGAGCGAAAGCAUGGGUAGCAAACAGGAUUAGAUACCCUGGUAGUCCAUGCCGUAAACGUUGGGCACUAGGUGUGGGUCUCAACCAACGAGAUCCGCGCCGCCGCUAACGCAUUAAGUG
rnacentral:rRNA from 1 species